AUGGCGCGCACGUCCGCGGCCGGCAUGCUCCCGGACGUGUUGCCCCCCACCGCCGCGUACUGCACCAGCGCGUCGAACACGUACCCCGGCAGCCCCGGCCCAAACGCCGCCGCCUCCUCCCCCUUCGCCGCGGCGGCCCUCCGCGACACCGCGAGCCUGGCCCCCGAAGCCGACCCCGUGGCCCUCCGCCUGGCGCCGACGGCCGAGGACGCGUCCCGCGCGGCGGAGAGUAGCGAGGCCAGGGAUACGCACGCGAAGCAGGCCAGGAAGACGACGAGCCACAGCCGGCGGCGCCCCAUCCACGGCGACCCCGACCCGCCGCCGGACGGCUUGUUCGACGAAGAGUGCACCAGCAGCACCUUCGGCCCGCCGCCCAGCCCCUUCAUCCCCCGCCUCCCCCCGUCCCCGCCAACCAGCCGCCGGACCAAGAAACGCGGCGGCGGCACGGAUUGGAGCGCAGCGAGGCGGCGGUAG
rnacentral:rRNA from 1 species